rnacentral:rRNA from 1 species
ACACGACUACAUUAGAUACCCGGGUAGUCCCAGCCCUAAACGAUGCGCGUUGGGUGUAUCGGUGACCACGAGUCACCGAGGUGCCGAAGGGAAACCGUGAAACGUGCCGCCUGGGAAGUACGGUCGCAAGGCUGAAACUUAAAGGAAUUGGCGGGGGAGCACAACAACGGGUGGAGCUUGCGGUUUAAUUGGAUUCAACGCCGGAAAUCUUACCGGGACCGACAGCAACAUGAAGGCCAGGCUGAAGACUUUGCCGGAUUAGCUG